CAGCAGCCGCGGUAAUACGAAGGGUGCAAGCGUUAAUCGGAAUUACUGGGCGUAAAGCGUGCGUAGGCGGUGAGUUAAGUCUGCUGUGAAAUCCCCGGGCUCAACCUGGGAAUGGCAGUGGAUACUGGCAAGCUAGAGUGUGUCAGAGGAUGGUGGAAUUCCCGGUGUAGCGGUGAAAUGCGUAGAGAUCGGGAGGAACAUCAGUGGCGAAGGCGGCCAUCUGGGACAACACUGACGCUGAGGCACGAAAGCGUGGGGAGCAAACAGGAUUAGAUACCCCCGUAGUCCCUGUCUCUUAUAA
rnacentral:rRNA from 1 species